rnacentral:rRNA from 1 species
AUACGUAGGGGGCAAGCGUUAUCCGGAUUUACUGGGUGUAAAGGGAGCGUAGACGGCAUGGCAAGUCUGAUGUGAAAACCCGGGGCUCAACCCCGGGAUUGCAUUGGAAACUGUCAAGCUAGAGUGCAGGAGAGAUAAGUGGAAUUCCUAGUGUAGCGGUGAAAUGCGUAGAUAUUAGGGGGAACACCAGUGGCGAAGGCGGCUUACUGGACUGUAACUGACGUUGAGGCUCGAAAGCGUGGGGAGCAAACAGGAUUAGAUACCCUGGUAGUCCACGCUGUAAACGAUGAUUACUAGGUGUUGGGGACCUAUAGGUCUUCGGUGCCGCAGCAAACGCAAUAAGUAAUCCACCUGGGGAGUACGUUCGCAAGAAUGAAACUCAAAGGAAUUGACGGGG